AUGAUGGAGAUGACGAUGGAGAUGACAAGUGAGACCUUCAAGAGGGAUUCCAGCAAGACAGUGACGAUGGAAGGACUAUUAGCAUAUGCUCGCAUGCAGGAUCACUGGAAGCAUAUAAAGGUGAAAAUUAGCAAGCAAGCUACAGUCGGUGCAUGGAUGACCAAGUUUACUUGUUACUUUAUGAAGAUGAUGAUUCCUCACGAGGACAUGACUACCUUGGAUAUGACCAAAAAUAUUACAUACAUGUAUAUUUGUGAGGUGAUUUCUAAUGCAAACUAUGCAAUAAUUUAUUUAUGUCAUCCAGGACAAAAAUACUUCACAGACUUUUUUGCCAUGUGUCGGUGUACAAAAGUAGAGGCCCUUCUGUACCCCUUUACUUGUGCACGGGAAGUCGUAGCCACACCUGCGGCUGGGCUCGGCAGGGCAGAGGAAGCAAAGACACAAGGCUGCCGAGGCAGCACCCAUGCCAGGAGCAUAAAGAGCAAACGGACAAGAUGGGCUUCCCCCGGCAAGAGCCUUGCUGGGACGGCCUGCAUGGCCCCGGCGAGAGCCUUGCCGGGGCAACCUGCCCAACACCAGCAAGAUCACCACCCUUGA
rnacentral:rRNA from 1 species